AUGCCAAAUAAUAAAUACAGUUAUUCAGCCAGCAAACAGCUGCGUGAUUAUAAAUAGGAAAAUUUACCUCAGUCCAGAGCCAGCUGAGACCCAACAACAUACAUUUAUUAAGCAGCGAUGUUUUUGGGGGCAUUUUUUUGCAGGGAUGUUGAGAAUAUUUUGCCCACUCUUUAUUUUAGGAAGGUGAAACGUCCCUGGUGGAUUUCAAAGGCUAACCUCUUGGGUAUGCGUUCUCUGUGCCAAGACACUGAGUCACGAAUAGAUGGGAGGAAGCUGUGUCAAACCCAGACGGGGACAAAGCGGCUGUAAUUUGGGAGCCAGCUCAGCUCCGUCUGCUAACAACCGCACAGCCCCGUCCGUGCCCUCAGCCCUGAACGCUGAGAGCUUUGCUCGCUGCCACUUUCGCAUGCUGUUUGGUGAUUGCUUGGGGAUUUCCGCACAAGGUGCAGGAACUCUGUCCCCAGGAGGAACGGGAUCAGGAGAAACAGCAGAGCUGUCCCCAGCGCCUCCAGCUUCGCCCGUGGUCCCUUUGGGAAGCGGGGCCGUGUCCCCAGCCCUCGUCCCACAGCCGUGCUGCCAGGCCGGAUCCGCAGAGCCAGGUAGCUCCAGCUCUUGGUCUGCAGCUCGUGCAGAAGUGACCUGGGCGGUGGGACACGGCUUGGAUCUGCACCCUCCUGACAGCGUGGGCUCCUGCAGCAGUGACAGUCCCCAUCCUCCCUGCCCUUCCGAGGGGACAGCGCAGCGAGAGCCGCCUGCUAUCUGCCUGUGACAAUAGUACAGGGGGACUGCAGAGAGAUUCCUGCCUUAUCUUGCUUGAGGGUUACUGCAGCAAAGGGAUUUAUUUUGGCCUUUCUGCCAAAAAAUGUACACAGAGAUUCCACUGAAGCACAUAUAUAUGUUUCUCUUGGAAGCAGACAAACCUCUCGCAUCCAAAAAGCCCUGCACUGUUAUUAAUCUCUGGGG